GAAGCCUUUCGUCUUCUAUCUGAAUCGUGCCAAGAGGUACAUCAAUGAGUUCAACGAGGUUGAACUUUGCGGCUUAGGAAUGGCUAUUCCUACUGUUGUCACCAUAGCUGAGAUUCUGAAGCGAAAUGGAUUCGCAAUCCAGAAAGGAAUAACGACAUCGACUGUGCUCAGCACCCAUGAGGAUAGAAAGGGUCGUCAGAUCGAGAAAGCUAAAAUUGAGAUAGUGCUGGGAAAAGCUGAGAAAUUUGAGGCCAUCAAUGGAGUUGUAACCCCAAUGGAAGCUGAUGAUUACAAAGCAUAAGAAAUUAAAGGAAGCGAUAGCAUUGGAAAUUCAC